rnacentral:rRNA from 1 species
AGAGUUUGAUCCUGGUUCAGAACGAACGCUGGCGGCAGGCUUAACACAUGCAAGUCGAGCGCACUCUUUUAGAGUGAGCGGCAAACGGGUGAGUAACGCGUGGGAAUCUACCCAUCUCUACGGAAUAACACAGAGAAAUUUGUGCUAAUACCGUAUACGUCCUUAGGGAGAAAGAUUUAUCGGAGAUGGAUGAGCCCGCGUUGGAUUAGCUAGUUGGUGAGGUAACGGCUCACCAAGGCGACGAUCCAUAGCUGGUCUGAGAGGAUGAUCAGCCACACUGGGACUGAGACACGGCCCAGACUCCUACGGGAGGCAGCAGUGGGGAAUAUUGGACAAUGGGGGCAACCCUGAUCCAGCCAUGCCGCGUGAGUGAUGAAGGCCCUAGGGUUGUAAAGCUCUUUCACCGGUGAAGAUAAUGACGGUAACCGGAGAAGAAGCCCCGGCUAACUUCGUGCCAGCAGCCGCGGUAAUACGAAGGGGGCUAGCGUUGUUCGGAAUUACUGGGCGUAAAGA